rnacentral:rRNA from 1 species
UAGGGAAUCUUCCGCAAUGGACGCAAGUCUGACGGAGCAACGCCGCGUGAGUGAAGAAGGAUUUCGGUUCGUAAAACUCUGUUGUUAGAGAAGAACAGCGCAUAGAGUAACUGUUAUGCGUGUGACGGUAUCUAACCAGAAAGCCACGGCUAACUGCGUGCCAGCAGCCGCGGUAAUACGUAGGUGGCAAGCGUUGUCCGGAUUUAUUGGGCGUAAAGCGAGCGCAGGCGGUCAAUUAAGUCUGAUGUGAAAGCCCCCGGCUCAACCGGGGAGGGUCAUUGGAAACUGGUUGACUUGAGUGCAGAAGAGGAGAGUGGAAUUCCAUGUGUAGCGGUGAAAUGCGUAGAUAUAUGGAGGAACACCAGUGGCGAAGGCGACUCUCUGGUCUGUAACUGACGCUGAGGCUCGAAAGCGUGGGUAGCAAACAGG